GAUGAACGCUAGCGGCAGGCUUAAUACAUGCAAGUCGAGGGGCAGCAGGGGUGUAGCAAUACACUCGCUGGCGACCGGCAAACGGGUGCGGAACACGUACGCAACCUACCCAUAACUGAGGAAUAGCCCGGGGAAACCCGGAUUAAUACUUCGUAACAUAAUGAUGUGGCAUCACAUUAUUAUUAUAGCUCCGGCGGUUUUGGAUGGGCGUGCGCCUGAUUAGCAGUU
rnacentral:rRNA from 1 species